rnacentral:rRNA from 1 species
UACAGAGGGUGCAAGCGUUAAUCGAAAUUACUGGGCGUAAAGCGCACGUAGGCGAAUAUUUAAGUCAAAUGUGAAAGCCCUGGGCUUAACCUAGGAAUUGCACUUGAUACUGGGUGUUUAGAGUAUGAUAGAGGGAAGUGGAAUUUCCGGUGUAGCGGUGAAAUGCGUAGAUAUCGGAAGGAACACCAGUGGCGAAGGCGGCUUCCUGGAUCAAUACUGACGCUGAGGUGCUAAAGCGUGGGGAGCAAACAGG